rnacentral:siRNA from 1 species
GCCAAGCUCUUGUAGCUCUCCUG